AAAAUCAGCAAGAAUAAUGCCUCACUUGCUUUCUUGUUGAAGCUCUUGCUCUAGUGCAGAUGUUGACACCUUCUUACUGUAGAUGUGCCUUUCACAUGUUUGCUGAGAUGUUUCAUCACGUCAAAACAAAAAACCUGGCCUUAUGAAAUUCCAUCAAAAUAGCUUAGUGAUUGCUACUGCAAGGCGUACAUCGGGCUACUUGGGGCUGGUCAUCACAAUCAGCCACGACAUGAUAGUUGCCAUCAAGAGCGCCGACCGCAAGAGCCUGAGUAACAGCCUCAAUAUUUUAUAUGUUUGAUGAUGUAAAAUUGAUUGUACUUGUUCAUA